rnacentral:rRNA from 1 species
UACGGAGGGGGCUAGCGUUGUUCGGAAUUACUGGGCGUAAAGCGCACGUAGGUGGAUUGCUAAGUCAGGGGUGAAAUCCCGAGGCUCAACCUCGGAACUGGCUUUGAUACUGGCAAUCUCGCGUCCGGGAGAGGUGAGUGGAAUUCCUAGUGUAUAGGUGACAUUCUUAGAUAUUAGGAAGAACACCAGUGGCGAACGCGGCUCACUGGCCCGGUACUGACACUGAGGUGCGACUGCGUGGGGAGCAAACAGG